UGGGGGAUAUUGCACAAUGGGCGAAAGCCUGAUGCAGCGACGCCGCGUGGGGGAUGAAGGCCUUCGGGUUGUAAACUUCUUUUGCUCUGAACAAGGCGCACCAUGGGGUGAGUUGAGUGUAGGGGUUGAUUAGCGCCGGCUAACUACGUGCCAGCAGCCGCGGUAAUACGUAGGGCGCGAGCGUUGUCCGGAAUUAUUGGGCGUAAAGGGCUUGUAGGUGGCUGGUUGCGUCUGUCGUGAAAGCUCAUGGCUUAACUGUGGGUUUGCGGUGGGUACGGGCUGGCUUGAGUGCAGUAGGGGAGGCUGGAAUUCCUGGUGUAGCGGUGGAAUGCGCAGAUAUCAGGAGGAAUACCGGUGGCGAAGGCGGGUCUCUGGGCUGUUACUGACACUGAGGAGCGAAAGCAUGGGGAGCGAACAGG
rnacentral:rRNA from 1 species